rnacentral:rRNA from 1 species
GGUUGAGCUCGGAUCAG